UUCCUGGAACAGGCCGCACAAUUUGUCGCUGAUCACUGGUUUGAUAAGAGUGGUGCCGAGGCACUUGAAUUGGUGGUUUCCCACCCUCUUUUGCCGUCGAGAAUACAGCAUCUGAUGACCGUCGACGAGUUGUAAGCAGCCAGGCAGAUACGGAAAGCGAUUGUCGACCUGCAAGAUCUAGACAUCUUCAUGGGAGCCACCGAUUGCCAGCAGAUUGCUGGCUUGCCAUUCGUCGGUACUCAGGCGUGACGGACGUGCUGGAUCUAGGGCCUCGCAGGUGCCUGGGAUCUUAAACUGCAGUUCAGGGCGUGAACACACCGGUGAUGACAAUCUUCUUGCUGCUCGUUGGGAUACUGUGGAAAAGCCGGACGUCUCCUGCCAAUGCUGCUUGACACAAUGCGUCACCUGAACUAUAGUGAAAGAAGACCGCAAAUUUUUUCUGCGAUUUCUCGCUUUUCUAGCAAGUGCGAGGUUUCGCGCAUACUAUUUAUUUGGCAAAAAUAAUUGUAUUUUUCUGACCUAAGAGUUUCGAGGUCACGU